ACUCCUACGGGAGGCAGCAGUGGGGAAUAUUGGACAAUGGGCGCAAGCCUGAUCCAGCCAUGCCGCGUGAGUGAUGAAGGCCUUAGGGUUGUAAAGCUCUUUCACCGGUGAAGAUAAUGACGGUAACCGGAGAAGAAGCCCCGGCUAACUUCGUGCCAGCAGCCGCGGUAAU
rnacentral:rRNA from 1 species